rnacentral:tRNA from 1 species
GAUGAGAUAGUCCAAGCCUCGAGGUAACUUGAGGACCCUUGAAAUCUGGCGGCGCAAGCCUUCGAAGGUUCGAAUCCUUCCCUCACCACCA